rnacentral:rRNA from 1 species
UACGGGGGGAGCAAGCGUUGUUCGGAAUUACUGGGCGUAAAGGGCGCGUAGGCGGUGCUCUAAGUCGGAUGUGAAAACUCUGGGCUCAACCCAGAGCCUGCAUCCGAAACUGGAGUGCUAGAGUUCUGGAGGGGGUAGCGGAAUUCCUGGUGUAGCGGUGAAAUGCGUAGAUAUCAGGAGGAACACCGGUGGCGAAGGCGGCUACCUGGACAGAAACUGACGCUGAGGCGCGAAAGCUAGGGGAGCAAACAGG